rnacentral:lncRNA from 1 species
UGAGCCCCUGCCAAACCCUGAGCCGCUGCCGGUGCCACCACAGCCCUUGCCCAAGCCCGAGCCGCUGCCGGUGCCACCUCAGCCUCUUCCCAAGCCCGACCCGCUGCCGGUGCCACCACAGCCUCUUCCCAAGCCCGACCCAUUGCCGGUGCCACCACAACCCCUACCGAAGCCGGAUCCAUUGCCGGUACCACCACAGCCCCUGCCCCAACCCGAACUGCCGAAGCCGGAGCUGCCACCCCCGGUGCUGGCUGGUGAGCUUCCACCAAAGCCAGAGGCAGUGCCACCGAAGCCGGAGGUGGU